CCUACGGGGGGCAGCAGUGAGGAAUCUUGGUCAAUGGGCGCGAGCCUGACCCAGCCAAGUAGCGUGAAGGAUGACUGCCCUACGGGUUGUAAACUUCUUUUAUAAAGGAAUAAAGUGAGGCACGUGUGCCUUUUUGUAUGUACUUUAUGAAUAAGGAUCGGCUAACUCCGUGCCAGCAGCCGCGGUAAUACGGAGGAUCCGAGCGUUAUCCGGAUUUAUUGGGGUUAAAGGGAGCUCAGAUGGGGUUUUAAGUCAGUUGUGAAAGUUUGCGGCUCAACCGUAAAAUUGCAAUUGAUACUGGCAGACUUGAGUACAGGUGAGGUAGGCGGAAUUCGUGGUGUAGCGGUGAAAUGCUUAGAUAUCACGAAGAACUCCGAUUGCGAAGGCAGCUUACUAAACUGCCACUGACAUUGAUGCUCGAAAGCGUGGGUAUCAAACAGGAUUAGAUACCCCUGUAGUC
rnacentral:rRNA from 1 species